rnacentral:rRNA from 1 species
AACGAACGCUGGCGGCGUGCCUAACACAUGCAAGUCGUGCGAGAAAGUUCCUUCGGGAGCGAGUAAAGCGGCGCACGGGUGAGUAACACGUAGGUAACCUGCCCCCCAGUCUGGAACAACUAGAGGAAACUCUAGCUAAUGCCGGAUGAGACCACGAUCCCUUCGGGGGUUGCGGCCAAGGAUGGCCUCUACUUGUAAGCUAUCGCUGAGGGAUGGGCCUGCGGGCCAUUAGCUUGUUGGUGAGGUAACGGGCUCACCAAGGCUGUGAUGGCUAGCUGGUCUGAGAGGAUGACCAGCCACACUGGGACUGAGACACGGCCCAGACUCCUACGGGAGGCAGCAGUGGGGAAUAUUGCGCAAUGGGCGAAAGCCUGACGCAGCGACGCCGCGUGGGUGAUGAAGGCCU